CGAAAGCCUGACGGAGCAAUACCGCGUGCGGGAGGAAGGCCCUUGGGUCGUAAACCGCUUUUCUUAGGGAAGAACAAAAUGACGGUACCAGAUGAAUAAGCCUCGGCUAACUCCGUGCCAGCAGCCGCGGUAAUACGGAGGAGGCAAGCGUUAUCCGGAAUUAUUGGGCGUAAAGCGUCCGCAGGUGGCGAUUCAAGUCUGCUGUCAAAGCACGGGGCUUAACUCCGUAAAGGCAGUGGAAACUGAAUAGCUAGAGUGCCGUAGGGGUAGAGGGAAUUCCCGGUGUAGCGGUGAAAUGCGUAGAGAUCGGGAAGAACAUCGGUGGCGAAAGCGCUCUACUGGACGGCAACUGACACUCAGGGACGAAAGCUAGGGGAGCG
rnacentral:rRNA from 1 species